UACGUAGGGGGCAAGCGUUGUCCGGAUUUAUUGGGCGUAAAGAGCGUGUAGGCGGCUUGGUAGGUCCGCUGUGAAAACUCGAGGCUCAACUUCGAGCUGUCGGUGGAAACUUUCUGGCUAGAGUCCGGAAGAGGAGAAUGGAAUUCCUGGUGUAGCGGUGAAAUGCGCAGAUAUCAGGAAGAACACCCGUGGGCGAAGGCGGUUCUCCUGGGACGGUACUGACGCUGGAGACGCGAAAGCGUGGGGAGCGAACAGG
rnacentral:rRNA from 1 species